UCUCAGGUGACCUUCCUGCUUCCUGCUUCCUGCUUCCUGCUUCCUGCUUCCUGCUUCCUGCUUCCUGCUUCCUGCUUCCUGCUUCAGACUGCACGUGUCAGCUGCUUCCAAGAGCCCCUUGUCAUUUUAAUGGCUAGCAGUGCCCUUAUGAAAGAUGACUUUUAUUUUUUCCUCACAGAAGCAGGUGUACUGUGGUCUAUUACUCAUCCCCGUUGUACUCAACGAGGGGCUGGAGUAUAUUGGAUUAGCUUCAGAGUCAUGUGAACUUAGAAAACAUUCUUUUUCAAGGAGAGUAGAUUGAUCUUGUAGAUGGGCACACAGCACCAUCAAUCAUACCAGUCUGGCUGGUGGUUGAUUUCUGUUCUCUGCACCAUCCACCCAUUCUCUGCCUCCAGUCUGUACACUGCAGGUUUUAGAAACUCCCUCUUUUUAAAAAUUGAUUAUUUUAUUUACUUUUCAAAUGUUGUCCCUCCUUCCUGGUCUUCCUUUCACAAACUCUCCAUCCUAUCCUCCCACCCCUUUGCCUCUAAGAGGGUGUUCCCCAACCAACCCACCCACCCACUCCUGCCUAGCAUCUCCCUUUGCUGGAGCAUCAAGCCUCCACAGGACCAAGGGCCUCCCCUUCCAUUGAUUCCAGAUAAGGCCAUCCUCUGCUACAUAUGUCACCGGAGCCAUGGACCCAUGCAUAUUCUUUGGUUGGUGGUUUAUUUCCUGGGAGCUCAGGGGGGACUGAUUAAUGAUAUUAUUGUUCUUCCUAUGGAGUUGCAAUCCCUUUCAGCUCCUUCAGCCCUUCCCUCAAUUUUUCCAUUGGAGUCCUGGGCUCAUUCUGGACAAAAAAUGGGGCAGAGACUAAAGGAAAGGCCAUCCAGAGACUGCCCUACCUUGGAAUCUAUCCCAUCUGAAGACACCAAACUCCAGCACUAUUGCGGAUGCCAAGAGGUGCUUGCUGACAGGAGCCUGGUAUAGAUGUUCCCUGAGAGGCUUUGCCAACACCUGACUAAUAAGGGAGUGAAGCACACUGAGUUGUGGAAAUGCUACAAGGGCCAGUUUUUGGGUCUUAGAAGAGUGUAGACCAGGGCUUGGACUUGGCUGUGUUCCUCUGCUGAAGGUUACAGCUACUGCUGCACAGCUGUCUUUGUACAGAUCUCCCCAGAUAAAGCCACAAUGUAAGGUUCCAGGUGGCCACACUUAUUUGGAGACACCAUUUAACACGGUUCUGCUUCUACUUCCAUGAGAACCUAGUGAAGAAGACACAGCCAGAGCUUUGAUCAAAGAUUCCAAAUGCAAAUACAACUAACCACCCAACUGGUCCCAUCAGCCAAUGUAUCUCUUUGUUACCUCAAGGGAGAUUGAUUUACGCUUUCAUCAAUAAAUCUUCAUAUUUUCAAUGUUUUCUUUUCAGAUAGUACAAUUUUGACAGUCUAAAAAAAUCUUCAUUUCUAUACGCAAU
rnacentral:lncRNA from 1 species